UAAAUUGCAUAAUGAAGGACUUGAUAGAGGAAGAGCUCUACAUGGGUCAGGGUCUUCUUUGACACCGGCAAAAUCAAGAGUUUUGCAGACCAACUGAGACUGCAGUUGGUAUUUGCCACCUCUGACCAAGAGAACUGAGAGGAUCAAUGAGGACAGUGUCUCAGCUACAGGGCUGAUUUCCUCCUAAGCAAGCUUCUCCUCAGGCUUGUCUUCUCAUUGGAUUUAGCUGCUGAAGCAACUUGUCAAAUCUGCUA
rnacentral:lncRNA from 1 species